UCCACGUCCCCACUCUUCUCCUAUAAGAGUCCUCAGCAGAUACUCAAGAGCUACACCAAGCCAAACUCCAGAUUUUCUUCACAAAAUUCCCUACAGCCUCAUCACAAUUUCAUUUACAUCUACAAAUCUAUUGCCCUCAAAAGAGUCAAAACAACUCAAAAUCCCAGCUUCUUACCAAGAGUAGCAGGCGACGGUUCGUAGCUCAAAAUCACAUCCCUGCAAAAUUUACUUCAUAACAGAACUCCUCAUCAAGGUCCACUUGAGAGAAGGAAUUAGCUUUGCUUUUACAAGAAGAGAAUUGUACAUCUUUUAUCUACAAGCUUGUUCUAUCGAGGUGGGUUUUUAUUUUCCAAUGUAUGUUUUGAGUUAUUAAGCUCUACUUGUUUUAUGCAAAUGCAAAUGAAUGUCCAUGUUAAAAUGUUUUUAUCUCUCUAUUGUUUAAAGUGCUCCUAUGUUCUCUAACGAUCGGGUCUUAGCCGGCGUAGCGAUUGGAUCGCUCUGGUUAGGAUUGUGUACACACAAGGGGGUAUUGUGGGCUGCUCCCACUUGCCUCAGACUGUCAGACUUGGGCUGCUCCCAUUUCUGAAACAUGCAUGGUAGUGGACCUCUGUGGGCUGCUCCCACAUGUUCACAUUAUAGGUGAAGCACCAGUAGAGAGAAGACCGAAAAUGGAUCCACAAUUUAUUUUAAGUAUGCAUGGAAUGCUUUCUAAUAUUUCUAUGUUAUAUUGUUCAUAGCAUGGAUUAUUCUUUUAAAUGGAUUUUCAAAUGUUUUCAAAUGGCUAAACCCACUGAGUAUAUUAGUACUCAGCCCUGCAAUUGUUUUCAAAACCUUUUGCAGGUUGAGCGGCAGGUGGUGACGUGCGAGGUUGAAGGAGGAUGUUGCUGUAGUUUCAUAUAAUAAUUUCUGCUGCCAUAAUAUUCACUAAGGUGGAUAUCUUUUGAGAUUGACUCUUUAAAUAUUCUUAGCCUAAUUAUUAUGAACUCUUUUGGCAAUCGCAUUUCUAGCAACUGAACCUCGCAUAUAUGUAUGUCUAGUAUGAAGUGUUAUCUUGUUGUCUCAGACCUCCGAACUUUUGAUCCUGGUUGGGAGAAUUUCUAUUUUAAUUGCCGUAUUUAUUAUCCUUCAAUUGCGACAUUCCUUUAAUAUGAAUGUGUUACCCAAAUCUAAGAACAUAUCAACUAUUAUAUUCAAGCAAAGUCUAGAAAUCCCAUUAAGUAGCACAUUUCCUUUUCUCCCGGGAGCCGGGCUGUUACAGGUGGUAUCAGAGCCGAACCUCUCCCAGUACGGUGUGGUUCGGGGACGAACCAAGCGGAAGCUGGUGGGCCUGUGACGCCCGGGGACGAAGUGCGGAGUGAUCGCCGGUGCAAAAGAGGCACGGACAAGGAGCGGCUCCGGUUAAGACUUCCAAGCGGAGGGGCGCAGGGAUGAACCGAAACACACCCGAACGAGAGGGAUUCCAAGAAUAUGCAGGUAUGGGACUGCAUAUUCGAGGAGAGCUUAAGUGAUUUGAUAGGUGCUACUCAUAUCAACAAGAUGCAUCUUCUUU